rnacentral:rRNA from 1 species
CCUACGGGUGGCAGCAGUGAGGAAUAUUGGUCAAUGGACGCAAGUCUGAACCAGCCAUGCCGCGUGCAGGAAGACGGCUCUAUGAGUUGUAAACUGCUUUUGUACGAGGGUAAACGCAGAUACGCGUAUCUGUCUGAAAGUAUCGUACGAAUAAGGAUCGGCUAACUCCGUGCCAGCAGCCGCGGUAAUACGGAGGAUUCAAGCGUUAUCCGGAUUUAUUGGGUUUAAAGGGUGCGUAGGCGGUCGGAUAAGUUAGAGGUGAAAUCCCGAGGCUCAACUUCGGAAUUGCCUCUGAUACUGUUCGGCGAGAGAGUAGUUGCGGUAGGCGGAAUGUAUGGUGUAGCGGUGAAAUGCUUAGAGAUCAUACAGAACACCGAUUGCGAAGGCAGCUUACCAAGCUACUUCUGACGUUGAGGCACGAAAGCGUGGGGAGCAAACAGGAUGAGAUACCCGAGUAGUC